UACGUAGGGCGCAAGCGUUGUCCGGAAUUAUUGGGCGUAAAGAGCUCGUAGGCGGUUUGUCGCGUCUGCUGUGAAAACCUAAGGCUCAACCUUGGGCUUGCAGUGGGUACGGGCAGACUAGAGUGCGGUAGGGGUGACUGGAAUUCCUGGUGUAGCGGUGAAAUGCGCAGAUAUCAGGAAGAACACCCGUGGCGAAAGCGGCUCUCUGGAACGGUACUGACGCUGAGACGCGAAAGCGUGGGGAGCGAACAGG
rnacentral:rRNA from 1 species